rnacentral:rRNA from 1 species
CGCUAGCUACAGGCUUAACACAUGCAAGUCGAGGGGCAGCAUUUUAGUUUGCUUGCAAACUGAAGAUGGCGACCGGCGCACGGGUGAGUAACACGUAUCCAACCUGCCGAUAACUCCGGAAUAGCCUUUCGAAAGAAAGAUUAAUACCGGAUAGCAUACGAAUAUCGCAUGAUAUUUUUAUUAAAGAAUUUCGGUUAUCGAUGGGGAUGCGUUCCAUUAGUUUGUUGGCGGGGUAACGGCCCACCAAGACAACGAUGGAUAGGGGUUCUGAGAGGAAGGUCCCCCACAUUGGAACUGAGACACGGUCCAAACUCCUACGGGAGGCAGCAGUGAGGAAUAUUGGUCAAUGGGCGAGAGCCUGAACCAGCCAAGUAGCGUGAAGGAUGAAGGCUCUAUGGGUCGUAAACUUCUUUUAUAUGGGAAUAAAGUUUUCCACGUGUGGAAUUUUGUAUGUACCAUAUGAAUAAGGAUCGGCUAACUCCGUGCCAGCAGCCGCGGUAAUACGGAGGAUCCGAGCGUUAUCCGGAUUUAUUGGGUUUAAAGGGAGCGUAGGUGGAUUGUUAAGUCAGUUGUGAAAGUUUGCGGCUCAACCGUAAAAUUGCAGUUGAAACUGGCAGUCUUGAGUACAGUAGAGGUGGGCGGAAUUCGUGGUGUAGCGGUGAAAUGCUUAGAUAUCACGAAGAACUCCGAUUGCGAAGGCAGCUCACUAGACUGUCACUGACACUGAUGCUCGAAAGUGUGGGUAUCAAACAGGAUUAGAUACCCUGGUAGUCCACACAGUAAACGAUGAAUACUCGCUGUUUGCGAUAUACAGUAAGCGGCCAAGCGAAAGCAUUAAGUAUUCCACCUGGGGAGUACGCCGGCAACGGUGAAACUCAAAGGAAUUGACGGGGGCCCGCACAAGCGGAGGAACAUGUGGUUUAAUUCGAUGAUACGCGAGGAACCUUACCCGGGCUUAAAUUGCAACAGAAUAUAUUGGAAACAGUAUAGCCGUAAGGCUGUUGUGAAGGUGCUGCAUGGUCGUCGUCAGCUCGUGCCGUGAGGUGUCGGCUUAAGUGCCAUAACGAGCGCAACCCUUAUCUUUAGUUACUAACAGGUGAUGCUGAGGACUCUAGAGAGACUGCCGUCGUAAGAUGUGAGGAAGGUGGGGAUGACGUCAAAUCAGCACGGCCCUUACGUCCGGGGCUACACACGUGUUACAAUGGGGGGUACAGAAGGCGGCUACCUGGUGACGGGAUGCUAAUCCCAAAAACCUCUCUCAGCUCGGAUCGAAGUCUGCAACCCGACUUCGUGAAGCUGGAUUCGCUAGUAAUCGCGCAUCAGCCAUGGCGCGGUGAAUACGUUCCCGGGCCUUGUACACACCGCCCGUCAAGCCAUGAAAGCCGGGGGUACCUGAAGUACGUAACCGCAAGGAGCGUCCUAGGGUAAAACUGGUAAUUGGGGCU